rnacentral:rRNA from 1 species
UUUCGACCUGAACUCAGACGUG